GGCCGGCAAGUUUAGAUGGCUGAAACACUGCAGGGGUGCACCUCGGCAGAGAGGAGGGUUCGACUCCCUCGCCGGUCGCCA
rnacentral:tRNA from 1 species